CGAGGUCUGAUACUAAGAGAAGCUGCUGAAUGUCGACUAACUCUCAGAAAGGCCUUAAGAAUCAGGGACUUGGAGCUUCCGUUGAUCGUCCCACGGGCCAGGACAACUGGUGCCCAACGUGGGGCUCGAGCCUUGUGAAGGAUAGAACGCCGCGCUAAAGAAGAGAGCUCUCACACUCACCGCACCCGGGAUCGCCACGAAGAAACUCGCUCGUGAGACAGAUCCGUUCAGCAGUCAACCAGCGCUGGCGAAAAGGAAAAGAAAAAGCACGUCACCAACUUUGCUGUAGCCUGCCCAGAACACGCCCAACCUAUGUGCAGCCGGCAACCGAGAGAAGCCCAACUUGCAGGUAUUGCUGACCUAGGCACCGGAACCGCCUCUAUCAUUCUCCAAUGCCAAGGCUUCUCCCACCUAAGAGCUGCUAUAGACGAAGAUUUGGCCCGCAUUGAAACCUCCAUCACCCAUCUUGAGAAAUCCCUUACAUCUUUAUCGGAGGUUGUUCUCCAAAACAGGAGAGGCUU